GACAGCAUGAUCAACUGUAUCAAAUGCCUUUGACAAAUCUAUAAAAAGAGCUGCGCAGUAUUUUCGACCAUCUAGUGCCUCUAUAAUGUUGUUUACCACUUUAACAGCAGCAGUUAUUGUACUGUGCUUUUAAGUAGAAGAAAAUG